UUUCUUUUUACUCUUUUUAAAAAAAGAUCAGACCUGAAAUCUCUCGCUUUUCUUCUAUAUUCGUCGUUUCCAACCCACGGAUAUGCACCUAUGCAUAAUUACAAUUCGAGCAGCGCCGCCGUCAGCAGCAUCAGCACCCGCAUCUCCAUCCUACCACCGCAGUCUCCUUCCAUAAUUUAUUCAACUGUUACACCUGGUUUGUAGUGUUCUAAUCCUCCCGAAGCUGUUGGGUUCGUUUAGUUUCAGUCGAAAACAUCGACUACGGACGAUUGUAAACCGGUGAUUUUGUGUUAACCGAGCUCAGUUCAGAAGAAGCUAUAGAGGAAAAAUCGAAUUCAUUCAGGUAUCAGUUGAUUACAUCGGUUAUUUUUGUAUAUUAUGUGUUAAUUCAUUACAUGGUUAUUUUUGUAUGUUAUGUGUUAAUCCAUGUAUUGUGUGUUAAUGAACUGAUUAGAUGUGAUUUCGUUUACUUAGGAUAUGAAGUUUAGGAAAUUCAGUGUCAAUUUGGAUUCUUAAUGACUUAAUCCGUGGUGGAUGUCAAGUAAUGAAACCCUAGAAUACAUGAUUAAUCCCUUUUGAUACUUACAUGAAAUCAAGAUCUAUAUAGUUUUUUUCUUGUGUUUUCAGGAAUCAUCAAGAUCUAUAUGGCUGGGAUUUUAGACAAGAGGAUUAUGUCCCUGUUGGUUCCUAGUGAUAAUAACAUUUGGUGGGUUUUCUACUUGUUUGUUGGUGUGAUCGAUUUUUCCCUUUUCAUGCUUGGUUUAGCUGCUCUUACAAAGUUCGUUGCCUUUUUGAUGAUCACUUCAUAAGUUCAUUGUUGGAGUACCAUUAUUGUUUUGUUUACCUUUGGUAGCUUUGUUUUAUCCUUAUAUUAUUUAUGCUUUUUAAUUUUGGUAAUUUUUUGUGCAGGGAUUCACUGAGCUAGGUUUUUGUUGGCUGAUCCAUAUUAAAAAUGACCCAACAUUAUAAUGUUUUGUGGAGGGGGGUUGCUUCUUGGUGAUAUUAAAAAUGAUCCAACAUUAUAGGGUGCGUUUGGUUGUGGAAGAUUUUUUAGUUUUCUAGGAAAAUUUUCCAAAAAAAACGGAAAUUUUGAAAAUUCGUUUGGUUGUUCAGUUUUCUAAAAUUUUUAGUUUACCAAAUUGUAUCUAAAUUAGAAAAGUGAUUUUAAUAGUUUUCCAAAAUUUUCAAGAUGGAAAAUGAAAACUCCCUCGGUUUCAACCAAACGCGUUUUCUAAAAUUUUCAUUGAAAAUUGAAAGCGAAAACUCAACUCUAUUUUCUGAAAACAUUUUUUUAGAAAAUGAAAACAGUUUUCUACAACCAAACGCACCCAUAAUGUUUUGUUUUCUUUUGUUCUUGCAGGUGUUAUACUUAGGUUGCAGUUUUAGUUUGGUUUUUACUUAGGCGUUGUUUGUUUUUUCUAGAGGCUAGAGGCAACAGGUCUGUAGUUUGCGAACUACAUCUGCAGACCUCUGUAAUAGAAAAGGUGAACCAAUUGUCGGGAUUUUGUAAGAAGAAAAUUGUUUGUUUUUUGAACGUGUGCAAACUGCUAAAAUAAACUGACAUUAAAUAUAUUGGUUUUUUAAAGUUAAAAGAGUUUUUAAUACUAAAAUUAAAAUAGUUCUAGGUUUAUAACUGAAA
rnacentral:lncRNA from 1 species